ACGAACGCUGGCGGCGUGCUUAACACAUGCAAGUCGAGCGGUAAGGCCCUUCGGGGUACACGAGCGGCGAACGGGUGAGUAACACGUGGGUGAUCUGCCCUGCACUUCGGGAUAAGCCUGGGAAACUGGGUCUAAUACCGGAUAUGACCUUGGACUGCAUGGUUCUUGGUGGAAAGGUUUACUGGUGCAGGAUGGGCCCGCGGCCUAUCAGCUUGUUGGUGGGGUAAUGGCCUACCAAGGCGACGACGGGUAGCCGGCCUGAGAGGGCGACCGGCCACACUGGGACUGAGACACGGCCCAGACUCCUACGGGAGGCAGCAGUGGGGAAUAUUGCACAAUGGGCGAAAGCCUGAUGCAGCGACGCCGCGUGAGGGAUGACGGCCUUCGGGUUGUAAACCUCUUUCAGCAGGGACGAAGCGAGAGUGACGGUACCUGCAGAAGAAGCACCGGCCAACUACGUGCCAGCAGCCGCGGUAAUACGUAGGGUGCGAGCGUUGUCCGGAAUUACUGGGCGUAAAGAGCUCGUAGGCGGUUUGUCGCGUCGUCCGUGAAAACUUGGGGCUCAACCCCAAGCUUGCGGGCGAUACGGGCAGACUUGAGUACUGCAGGGGAGACUGGAAUUCCUGGUGUAGCGGUGAAAUGCGCAGAUAUCAGGAGGAACACCGGUGGCGAAGGCGGGUCUCUGGGCAGUAACUGACGCUGAGGAGCGAAAGCGUGGGUAGCGAACAGGAUUAGAUACCCUGGUAGUCCACGCCGUAAACGGUGGGCGCUAGGUG
rnacentral:rRNA from 2 species